rnacentral:rRNA from 1 species
GACUCUCGGCAACGGAUAUCUCGGCUCUCGCAUCGAUGAAGAACGUAGCGAACUGCGAUACUUGGUGUGAAUUGCAGAAUCCCGUGAACCAUCGAGUCUUUGAACGCAAGUUGCGCCCGAAGCCAUUCGGUCGAGGGCACGUUUGCYUGGGUGUCACACAU